GCCGGGCGAGGUGGCGGGCGCCUGUAGUCCCAGCUACUCGGGAGGCUGAGCCAGGAGAAUUGCUUGAACCUGAGAGUCAGAGGUUGCAGUGAGCCGAGAUCCCGCCACUGCACUCCAGCCUGGGCGACAGAGNNNNNNNNNNCUCUGUCGCCCAGGCUGGAGUGCAGUGGCGGGAUCUCGGCUCACUGCAACCUCUGACUCUCAGGUUCAAGCAAUUCUCCUGGCUCAG
rfam:Chlorocebus sabaeus isolate 1994-021 chromosome 7, whole genome shotgun sequence.